AGGAGACUGCCAGUGAUAAACUGGAGGAAGGUGGGGAUGACGUCAAGUCAUCAUGGCCCUUACGACCAGGGCUACACACGUGCUACAAUGGCAUAUACAAAGAGAAGCGACCUCGCGAGAGCAAGCGGACCUCAUAAAGUAUGUCGUAGUCCGGAUUGGAGUCUGCAACUCGACUCCAUGAAGUCGGAAUCGCUAGUAAUCGUAGAUCAGAAUGCUACGGUGAAUACGUUCCCGGGCCUUGUACACACCGCCCGUCACACCAUGGGAGUGGGUUGCAAAAGAAGUAGGUAGCUUAACCUUCGGGAGGGCGCUUACCACUUUGUGAUUCAUGACUGGGGUGAAGUCGUAACAAGGUAACCGUAGGGGAACCUGCGGUUGGAUCACCUCCUUACCUUAAAGAA
rnacentral:rRNA from 1 species